CAGGAUUGCGAACGAUGCCGCCGGAACCGCAUCUGCCUGGGGGGCAGCGGGUCGUCGGUUCGAAUCCGGCCGUCCCGACCA
rnacentral:tRNA from 1 species